rnacentral:sRNA from 1 species
CAAUUCAUUCAUCCUUGAGAUGAAAGGAUUUUAAACUUAGCUGAAGCAGUUCAAGGACUACCGGCGACUCUGAUAUCAGCAAUUUAGUUUUCCUAGGAUUUAAUUCGCAUAGAUUUUAUACUUUCAUGAAAAAAACUUCUUAUAAAUUGUAGCAUUAUAAACAUAUUACUUGUGCUUGAACUCUGGAUUUGGGAACAAUUUUUCAUCAUCACCUGCUGCGAUAUAGCCUGUAGAAGGAUAUGGAACACACGCGCCACCUUCAUCAGUAAUAUUUAUUUCAACUUUAUCAUCAAGGACACCAUUGGUUGUGUCUAGACGGGCCUUAGACCGUUGCUGCCUUUGGCUUCGUUUAUUUUUUCAUCGAAACAUUUGCAUUUUCAAAGUCAGGGAGAAUCCGUUUCCAUUGAAGUUUUGCUGGGCUAAGCAAAUCAAAUGAAGUUAUAAGCGUUUCACUAACAAAUUGAGCAAACACUUGACGGCUAGCUUUAUUAGAGAAAUGGAAGCCAGUCUCGAUGUGCGCAUAAUUUAUGGUUGCGAUUGUCUGCCUCCCUUCUUUGGGACAUAGCAGAUAACGAGGCACGUCAAUGUUCGCUAAUAAACUCAAGAAGGAUUAAUUUCGUGAUUUAUGAUAUGCAAUAGAGUAAGAAAGAAGGAAGGAUGACCGACCGUAUAAGCUUAAUAAGCUUUGACUGGCUGACAUAAAAUCCCUAGCAUACUUUUCAGCUGUGGCAGGUAUUACCGGCAUUUGUUAAUUAAUUUCGCAGAAUCAAGUGAAAUAGAUA